rnacentral:sRNA from 1 species
CUGCUGGGGAGCUACAAAAUGCACGUGACCGUCAAUACCGGCUGCAGUCAAUAUAAGAUGCUCGCCAGAGAUAGCGUCAGUCGAUGGGCCUGUACACAACGUAGGUGUCACGCCUUCCAUGACGUUAGGGUUACCGGCUUUGCCUAUGCCAGCGAUUUUGCCAUCCUUGACUCCGACAUCAGCUUUGACUACACCGAUGAUAGGGUCGAUGAUGGUGACAUUGGUUAUGACGAGGUCAAGCGACCCGCCAUCGCUGGUGAUGGUGUUGGCUGUGCCCAUGCCGUCACG